UGAAAACAUUUAAUUUAAGCAAGGAUGAGCAUUUGAGUGCCCAGCAAGUAAUAGCAAUUAUAUAUAUAAGCUGAAAGAAUAUAAGUAUUCUCUUUACAUAACACUUCUACAAUGAAUCGAAAGUUGUGAAGUAAUCUGUACUGAUAAAAGAUUCACAUAACAACUCUCUUUCAAUUUCUUGAAAUUAGGCUCCACCCAUGAAUAGGGUUUAAGAAACAUACUAUGAACAUUGUUUUUCAUUUUCGAAAAGGUUUAGCAGAAAUUCAUC
rnacentral:lncRNA from 1 species